rnacentral:lncRNA from 1 species
GCUAAUUUUAUCACAAAAUAUACCCCAGAGGUUUUUUAUCGUUCGGCUGCUGUCCUGUUGACAUAUGUAAAAUAUCUCCAAUAUUAAAAGUCUCUGGAUCACAGUGGGUGCCAUAUUACCUAUUUUUUUUUUUCUAAAACGUGCUUUGUAUAUAGAAAUAAGAAGAUGAGGUAUGAGUGCCAAAUGAGACAUCUUUCCAGCAAAGA